GACAUACUCCCUCCGUCUGAAAAUACUCGUCAUCAAAAUGGAUAAAAAAAGAUGUAUCUAGAACUAAAAUACAUCUAGAUACAUCUCCUUCUAUUCAUUUUGAUGACAAGUAUUUCCGGACGGAGGGAGUACUUU
rfam:Triticum aestivum genome assembly, contig: Triticum_aestivum_CS42_TGACv1_scaffold_115066_2AS